rnacentral:rRNA from 1 species
UACGAGGGGGGCAAAUGUUGUUCGGAAUUACUGGGCGUAAAGGGAGCGUAGGCGGGUUCUUAAGUUAGGUGUUUAAUCCCGGGGCCCAACCCCGGACCGGCACUUAAAACUGGGAAUCUUGAAUAGUGGAGAGGUCAGUGGAAUUGGGGGUGUAGCGGUGGAAUGCGUAGAGAUCCCCAAGAACACCAGUUGCGAAGGCGGCUGACUGGACACAUAUUGACGCUGAGGCUCGAAAGCAUGGGGAGCAAACAGG